rnacentral:rRNA from 1 species
GACGAACGCUGGCGGCGUGCUUAACACAUGCAAGUCGAACGGAAAGGCCCUGCUUGCAGGGUACUCGAGUGGCGAACGGGUGAGUAACACGUGGGUGAUCUGCCCUGCACUUCGGGAUAAGCCUGGGAAACUGGGUCUAAUACCGGAUAGGAGCCAUUUUUAGUGUGAUGGUUGGAAAGUUUUUUCGGUGUAGGAUGAGCUCGCGGCCUAUCAGCUUGUUGGUGGGGUAAUGGCCUACCAAGGCGGCGACGGGUAGCCGGCCUGAGAGGGUGGACGGCCCAUUGGGACUGAGAUACGGCCCAGACUCCUACGGGAGGCAGCAGUGGGGAAUAUUGCACAAUGGGCGCAAGCCUGAUGCAGCGACGCCGCGUGGGGGAUGACGGCCUUCGGGUUGUAAACUCCUUUCGCUAGGGACGAAGCUUUUGUGACGGUACCUAGAUAAGAAGCACCGGCUAACUACGUG